rnacentral:rRNA from 1 species
UACGGGGGGGGCAAGCGUUGUUCGGAAUUACUGGGCGUAAAGGGCUCGUAGGCGGCCAACUAAGUCCGACGUGAAAUCCCCAGGCUUAACCUGGGAACUGCGUCGGAUACUGGAUGGCUUGAAUUCGGGAGAGGGGUGCAGAAUUCCAGGUGUAGCGGUGAAAUGCGUAGAUAUCUGGAGGAAUACCGGUGGCGAAGGCGGCAUCCUGGACCGACAUUGACGCUGAGGAGCGAAAGCUAGGGGAGCAAACGGG